GAGAAGCAAUUUUCGUGUCUACUUGUGUGGGGAGAUUAUCUUGGAGCCACGAUUGCUGAUGGGGGGAUGCAGCAGCAUUCGGAGUGCUGGUACACUGCAGAACAAUCAACAAGCUGACAUGUUCUGUGCUCGAUUGGGCCAAAUCUUAUCAUCUUUCAUGGCAGAGGAGUUGUCUGGACGCCAACAGAGAUCCAGAAAUAAGAAGAAUUGUACAGAUGAAUCAGCCUCUGUGCACGCACCUCAAAGCGGAUGAAGGCAGGCAGCGAUGUGUCGUCGUCGUCGCCACUGAGACGGACUUUUGUACUUGGCAGCCGUGAGCUGUCCUUUGGCUUGUUGCGAUUGGCAGAUCCAUGGCGUCAAGGUUUGCUCCCAUGUUAACUCUCUCUCCUUCAAGCUCUAAAUAAAUCUGAUGCAUCACGACGCAAAACUCAAAAAUGAAUUGCUAGUGGUCACUUGGCUACUUAAGCUUAGCUUGCUCAUUGGUUUCAGAAUUGUGUAAUGUUCAUCUCAGGAACAUCAGGACUUCUUCAUCCAUCUGAAAUCUUUGUGUGCAGAUCAUCCUACCUUAAUGUAUGAUCUUUCCUGCAGUAAAGUGGAAGACCUCUGGUAUGGCCACAUCUUCAUUGAUGCUAUUUUAGGUCUGUUUGUUUAUGCUUAUGCAGCCUAUUUAUCAUAGUCAAUAUGCCUCUUGCUUUUCAAGAAUUCUCUAUGAUAUCUUAAUGCAUAAGAAGGACCAAA